ensembl:lncRNA
GUGUAAAUCACAAACCUUCCAUAGAGCCAAAUUUAAUUCUACAGUAAUGUCAUAAGAGUUGUCAUCUAUUCUGUUCUUGGUAUACUUUUAUUCUUAUGCCAAGUCUGGAGUGUGCCAGAUGUGCCAAAAAAGAAGUGCGGAGAAGUUAGAGUGUGCGAGAAACAGACUGGGUGAGUGAGAGCAGAGACACACAGAUUGUGCGAAAAAUAUGUAGAGAGAGAGAGAGAGAGAGAGAGAUGAGAAAGGUCCGGUCUAGGUACUGACUUUAGUAAUUCUGUAAGUCUGCAUUUUCCCUGAAGCACCAUGAAUCUGUCAAAGCAGAUAAAAAGCAGUUAAGAGCCAUGGUCUCUUUCAUCUUGUUGUCUGGAGGGGCUGUUGGCUUAAUCUUCAAACCAACACUGUGACCAAGUUCUGUGUGAGAUUCAAAAUGUCAUACUUUACUUAAAUUUUUUUUUUUACAUUUUACAUAUGCAUUUCAGUAAAGAUGGGCACACGGUGGCUUAGAGGCUAGCACGCUCGCCCUCACACCUCCAGGGUCCGGCGUUCGAGUCCCGCCGUGUGUGUGCGGAGUUUGCAUGUUGCAAACAUACAUUUACUUAUUACUUAAUGCAACAUUUGUGCGCAUAAAAAGGAAAUAAAUCAGUCCGUACAGGAUUUUUAAGUUUUUUAUUGUGAUUGUUGCUGCCAAAAAUUCUCGAUAAUGCUUUUUAAAAAUGUGUGAUGCAACUUGCAGAGUUGUUUAUGCUUGUUUCAUGGAAAAGUACUUGAAUUGGUGAAAUUACAAUUGCGUGUAAUUGUUUUGCACGGUCUUUCGCAGUGAUGUUUGUUGGUAAAUGAGACCUUUUAGCUCUACUCACGUUCGACACACAUAAAUCAUAGAGGGCUUUGGCUGGAUGUGCGUUUUGAUGACAUCACAUGACACGUCUUGGCCCAAAUCUGUGGAAAAUCUGCAGUAUUUUUCAGAAAUUGCAAGCUCCUCCGGAUAUUGCAGAGUUUCCUUGAUUUUGCGUUCAUUUCUGUGAUCGCAAAAUCUCUAAAUCCCUGGAGGGACUGAAUAUUACCACACUGAACUGUUUUAUUCCUCUUACACCACACCAACAGCAGAUCAGCAGCAACACCAGAACAGCAUGUCAUACUUUUUAAAUCUAUUUAUACUUAGCCUGCAUAUAAUGUUGUGGAAUUUUCACGAAGCAUGUAUUACUUAUAAUUUAUAUGAUAGAAUCUAUAAGCAACUGUGAAUUAUGAGUGAAUAAUAUAAAUCUGUGAUUCACCUUGCAGCUGGAACUACUGUCAGAGCUGCUGUUCUUUUACUCAACACCUUCAGGAGAGUUCAGCAGAAUUGUUGUGUAAGUAUCAAUCGUGUGAGAGUGUGUGUGUGUGUGUGUGUGAAUGGGUAAAUGAGAAACAGUGUAAAGCGCUUUGUAGAACCAGUAAGGUUUUUUUUUUGUUUAGUUUUUUUUAAAAGCGCUAUAUAUGUGCAGAUCAUAUUAAAAAUUUUCAUAUCAGCCAGUUCUCAGCUAUGGCAUUACGUUUUAAGGCAGCUACCCACAGCGAGUUUCUCAGAUGCCUUCAAGAAAAUAAAACAGACAGGUGACAAAUUAAAGGUAAACACAGCAAGUGUGUUAGUAAGGUCUUGGUCCAUCACCACCAAAACAGCUUCAGUGUUCCUUGGAGCACAUUCUACAAAUCUCUUGAACUGUACUGGAGUGCUGAACACAGCUCUCUCUCUGUGGGUGUUUUGAUGAUGUUGGUAGAGAGCGUCACUCCAAAAUAAGUGUUCAACUGGGUUGAGAUCUGGUGACAGUGAAGACCAUAGUAUAUGCUUUACAUCAUUUUCACCCUUAUCAAACCAUUCAGUUAACUCUUGUGCCCUGCGAAUAUGGGUGGGGUCAUCUUCGAAGAGACCACUCCCAUUAGCAUAGAAAUUAUUCAUCAUAGGAUGAAUCAAAGCGGAUCAAUCAGAACUUUACUGAAUUGUAUUGCUUUACAGUGACUCCUCUGUUUAAGAAGAAAAGUGGACCCAAAUUGUGCAAGUGCCCCCACAGUGUAACAGAGUCCACACACUUGUAAUGAAUUUACAAGCAUGAGAAGAUGUUUGUUCUCUGUUGCCUGGUCACUUUCCUCUUUUUUUUUCAGACUGAAAAAUCUGUGGGUGAUUAUUUGAUGACUCCAGUGAGAUUCACUGGAGUGUUUAAGUAGCUGACACGCACGUGACGGUAAGAGUUCUGCAGUCCUUCUUGAUUUUCAGACAUAUUGACCUCCUAUAACCUCAACUAACGUCAUAAUUUUGCUGACCUGUUGAGAUCAGUGUGUUCCUUCAGCUUUCACUUCCCUCAUCUGCAGAUCUACAAGAGACAGCACUUCAAAUGACACUGAGCUUAUCAAUACUCUGUUGAGAUGGCUGGACUUGUGCAUUGUGUAUGCAUGUGUAUUUACCAAUUUGUGCAAUCUAUUACUAAAUUACCUUUUUAAUGAAAAUAAAAGUCAUGCAGUGGUUGAAUGGGAAGUGUUUUCAGUGGCACUAGGAUCAAUCAGCAAUCAAUUCUUCCAUUACUCCUUAAGGCCUGGGCAACAUCCAUACAUUCACACUUAAACCAUACCAUCCACAAAGCUGUGCAUACUCACAUUUACUGUACAGUAGAUUCAUCUACAGGAUUUCUAGUCUGAAAGUCUUAAAUCAGCACAGUUGACAGUAGGAUGGUGCAGUGGAUAGCGUUGCUGCUUCACAGAUCCAGGGUCCCAGGUUUGAUCAUUAGCUCAGGUUACUGUUUGUGUGGAGUCCUCCCUAUGACUGUGUGGGUUUCCUAGGCAUCCCAGGAUUCCUCUCACGUCCGAAAAACAUGCCUGUCGGUGAACUGGCUAAGAUUAAUUGCCUCUAAGUGUGAAUGAGUGUAUAAAUGUGCUUGCCUUCCAUCCAGGGUAUAUUCCCGCCUCACCUCCAGUGUUCGGGAUAGGCUCUGGAUUCACUGCGACCCUAAAAGAAUAACAGUGACUAAAAGUGAGUGAGUCAUAACAGUUAGUAACAGAUUCAUACACAAAUUGCUCACCUCUUUCCCACUGUUCUGGUGUAUUCUGAUGCCAUUUUUCUCCACUCCAGACUUGGCAGAAGAAUAAAC